rnacentral:rRNA from 1 species
AUACGUAGGUGGCAAGCGUUGUCCGGAAUUAUUGGGCGUAAAGCGCAUGUAGGCGGUGCCUUAAGUCUGUCGUGAAACUGCGGGGCCUAACCCCGUAUGGCGAUGGAAACUGUGGCACUUGAGUGCAGGAGAGGAAAGGGGAACUCCCAGUGUAGCGGUGAAAUGCGUAGAUAUUGGGAAGAACACCGGUGGCGAAGGCGCCUUUCUGGACUGUGUCUGACGCUGAAAUGCGAAAGCCAGGGUAGCGAACGGGAUUAGAUACCCCGGUAGUCCUGGCCGUAAACGAUGGGUACUAGGUGUGGGAGGUAUCGACCCCUUCCGUGCCGGAGUUAACGCAAUAAGUACCCCGCCUGGGGAGUACGGCCGCAAGGCUUAAACUCAAAGGAAUUGACGGGG